AACGAACGCUGGCGGCAGGCCUAACACAUGCAAGUCGAGCGGACCCUUCGGGGUUAGCGGCGGACGGGUGAGUAACGCGUGGGAAUAUGCCCUUCUCUACGGAAUAGUCCUGGGAAACUGGGGGUAAUACCGUAUACGCCCUUUGGGGGAAAGAUUUAUCGGGGCAGGAUUAGCCCGCGUUGGAUUAGGUAGUUGGUGGGGUAAUGGCCUACCAAGCCGACGAUCCAUAGCUGGUUUGAGAGGGUGAUCAGCCACACUGGGACUGAGACACGGCCCAGACUCGUGCGGGACGUACCAGAAGGGAACCGUCCGCAAUGGGCGCAUGCCUGCUGGAGCAACGGCGCGGGAGUGAUGAAAGUCUUCGGCUCGUAAAACUCUGUUACCAGUGCAGAACAAAUGUGCACGGAACAAUGCAGUUCUUGACGGUAACGAAUAAAAAAGCAACGACUAACUACGUC
rnacentral:rRNA from 1 species